UUAGUCCAUGGUGAUCUGACAGGAUGAAAGGAAUUAUUUCAAUCUUCUUGUGUCUGUUGAUGUCUGAUUUAUGACCAAUAUUAUGGCCAAUUUUGGAGAAGGUAUCAUGAGAUGCUGAGAAGAAGGCAAAAGCUGAAGGAUAAACAAGACACACCUGGGGCAAACCCAGAAGGACUUCAGCGCAGCAUACCUGCUUAGCUCUCUUUACUUACAUACCCUGUAUUCCUGCUGACUACAGUUUUACUAAUCCUCUGACCUCAUAAAGCCUACCAGGGGCUGGCAUGCAUGAGCUCUGUGAAAUCAGAUAUGCCAUAUUGUUUAGCAUCUGUUCUGAACUCCCUGUGAAGUCCUCUUUGAAGGUAGCAUAGGGCUGUCAGCUUCAAUGGCUUAGUAGUGAAAUCCAGCAGGAAGAUUAAAGCUUAUUCUAUGCUUACUUUUCAUAUACACAUACCUGUAUAUGGAGCACUUGGAUCUACAAUUUAGAGGUCUAAUUACGAUACACUUGCCUUUCCAAAACAGAAAUAUAUCUAAAUUUUCCCCA